rnacentral:rRNA from 1 species
GGGCCCGCACAAGCGGUGGAGUAUGUGGUUUAAUUCGAUGCAACGCGAAGAACCUUACCAGGGUUUGACAUCCUGCGAAUCUCUUGGAAACAGGAGAGUGCCUUCGGGAACGCAGUGACAGGUGGUGCAUGGCUGUCGUCAGCUCGUGUCGUGAGAUGUUCCGUUAAGUCGGAUAACGAGCGCAACCCUUACCCUUAUUUGCCAGCGAUUCGGUCGGAACUAUAAGGGGACUGCCGGUGAUAAACCGGAGGAAGGUGAGGACGACGUCAAGUCAUCAUGCCCUUACGAUCCUGGGCUACACACGUACUACAAUGCUACGGACAAAGGGCAGCAAGUUCGCGAGGAC